AGAAUUCCCCUUCUGGAGACACCAUAAUCACGAAGGUGGUUUUCCCAGGGCGAGGCUUAUCUAUUGCACUCUGGAUGUGCUGACCUCUGCGACCUCCCCAAAUGUGGGAAACGCGACUGUAUAAUUUGUGGUAGUAGGGGACUGCGUUCAUGCUUUCCCCUG
rnacentral:snRNA from 1 species